rnacentral:sRNA from 18 species
AGGAUAAGAAUAAGAGCGACCGUAUCAGGUCGCUCGUUUUAUUACUUUUUAUUACCCAUUUGGUUUGGCCGCCGAUCUAGUAAUAGAAAGUAUCAUGGCGUUACGCAUAGCUGGCUGUUAGCUUUGUUCCUUACGAUUAUCACUAACAGUGUUUGUAACCAAUUGCCUGAGUUUGUCCUCAGGCUUUUUUGU